AGCAGUGGGGAAUUUUGGACAAUGGGCGCAAGCCUGAUCCAGCAAUGCCGCGUGAGUGAAGAAGGCCUUCGGGUUGUAAAGCUCUUUUGUCAGGGAAGAAACGGUGAAGGCUAAUAUCCUUUGCUAAUGACGGUACCUGAAGAAUAAGCACCGGCUAACUACGUGCCAGCAGCCGCGGUAAUACGUAGGGUGCAAGCGUUAAUCGGAAUUACUGGGCGUAAAGCGUGCGCAGGCGGUUUUGUAAGUUUGUCGUGAAAGCCCCGGGCUCAACCUGGGAGUUGCGAUGAAGACUGCAAGGCUUGAAUCUGGCAGAGGGGGGUAGAAUUCCACGUGUAGCAGUGAAAUGCGUAGAGAUGUGGAGGAACACCGAUGGCGAAGGCAGCCCCCUGGGUCAAGAUUGACGCUCAUG
rnacentral:rRNA from 1 species